rnacentral:snRNA from 1 species
UGCUCGCUUCGGCAGCACAUUACUAAAAUUGGAAUAAUAGGGAGAAGAUUACCAUGGCCCCUGUGCAAGAAUGACUCGCAAAUUCGUGAAGCGUUUCAUAUUUUU